UAAAGGUUACGCUCUAUUUAUUGUUAUUACAUAAUAUCAUCCCCGUGUAUUAUUACACAAUACACACCCUGGUAGCCUAUCUUACCAAUUUAGGGUGACCAACCAUCCAAGACUUUUCCAGUGUUAGUGCUGAAAGUCUUGCAUCCUGAGAAAUCAAAUCCAGACUUUGAGUUACCCUAGUAAUGGAGCGCUUGCUCCUCAUGGGCACAGUACAGUUGCCACAGCUCCAAGCAUCACACCCUCAUGAAAUGACAGUGCACCGAGUAAGAGGAAAGGGGGAGCAAGCAAAACAUAUUUCUCCUUGAACUUCUCAGAAGCCACAGAGACACUCCCCUUGCAUUUGAUUGGCAGGCCUGGGUCUCAUGAUCACUCUGGACCAAUCCCUGGAAAAAGAAGAAGGGGUUGGUAUGACUGGUAUAGGCCCAUCCCUAUUCAUCCCCAGGGCCAAGAUUCUGUUUCUGAGGAGGAAGAGGGUAGGUAUGGCUGCUUGGAGGCACCCAAGGGCGUGAGACCAGGCUGGACCGGCCACACGGGGGACUCAGCCUGCUUGGAGUCCUGGCUCUGCCCUGUUGUGGCAGGUUACCUGUGCUUGCUUAUGGAAGUUCCCGGGCCUGGAAUGGAAGGGAAACUGCAGCUACGACCUACGCCACAUCUGCAGCAAUGACCGAUCCUUAACCCACCGCACUGGGUCGGGGAUGGAACCUGCACCUCCCCAGAGACGAGCCGGGUCCCCAACGCUCUGUGCCACAGUGGGAACUCCUGGAAUCUUUUGCCCGUUUUCCUUUUGCUCCCACUGUCUGUCCCACUGCUGUUGACAGGUCUGCAUAUUCUGGAUCUGGGUGCUUCAGCAACUGUACGCAGUGCAACGGUCUCUUUCCACUCAGUGGCUUGUCCUUUGCUCCUUACUAGUUGGGCGCAAGCCAGGGAUGGCUCAGGGACUCCAGCACUUCUCCCAAAGGUCCCCCAGGUCUCCCCAAAGAAUAUUCCACCUGAGUGGAAUGGCCCACUGGCCAGGCAAGCAGGCCCGAGGUCCCCGAGCCCCAGCUCUCCCUGGGGACAGCCCUCCAAUCCUCUUGGCAGAAAUAUCAUAGGAACUCCGGGCCUGCCACCGUCAGCGGCUAAGGGAGUGGAACACGCCCAGAAGAGGAGGCAGGGGUCCAGGUGCAGACCGAAGCAUGGUCCCCCCCACUCCCCGCUCCUGCAAGCAGCCGAGGGGCAGGCUUGUCACGUACGGAUUAGAUCUGGGGGUCCAGAGACCCCCCCGGGGAGUCUGACACCCUUUCCCGAGUCAGCUCCCUCGGGAGCUCGCUCCCUCCUGGCUGGUUCUGGGGGCAGGGACCUUUCCUCUCUCCGCACGCCUCCCUCGGCUCUUCCUUCACUGAUGAUCAGAAAGCCCAGUCCAUCCCCAGCGGGUGGCACCCUCCCCAGAGGGACUGUCCCUUCUCCCCUCUCACCAUCACCUCCCCGUCUCGUCCCUCCAUCCUUCGCUGCCCACCCCAGACAUACUGGGCUACCUCCCGGCUCAGGGUCCCUCCCAGGACCCCGCUCUCUGCUCUCAGCUUCCCUUCCUGCCCCCUGGGCAGAGAAACUCCCACGAAGCGGCAUCUGCUCUGCUUUCCCACCCCCAGGCCCCCCCAGCAUCUUCUUGGUCCACACGGGCUGGCUUUUGUCCCCCCCCGCCCUUGUCAAGGUUGCCCGAGAGCCACCCUUUGUCCCACCUGUGGCCCCGUGUCUACCCUGGUCCCCUGGUGUCUGCAGAGCAUCUGCCACCCGGCCCCCUCUGCCGCUCCCGCCCCCACCACACUCCCCCACCAAGCGAUUCUCGUGACACCAGAUGGCCGUCCUACAGCUGAACCCAACUCCGACACUGUCGACCUGGAGACAGCGCCACAGGUUAAGGCCUCUGGCCCGUGAGACUGUCCCCCCCGCUCAGAGCCCGAGCCCAAGGGCUUGAUCCCCGAGUGACCCACCACGUCUGCUCAACUUGGCUGCAAGUCAGAGGUUCCCACGUCCUCCUCCCUCUGGAUCCCGUCACCCGUCAGCACAGCUCUCGGAACUCGGUUUAUUACAGGAGAAAGGACGCAGGACGGCCCAGAUGAGCCGCCACGAAGAGGUACACAGACAGACGCCUCACCGUUUCAAACACCCGAAAAGCGAAGAGCAGCAUGUGCUUUUCUUCAACCCCUCGCCUGGGAACCUCCACAUGUUGCGGGUGCAGCCCUCGAAAGACAAAACAAACAAACAAGCAAAAACGGUACCAAUUGCAACGGAUGGGAAGCGUCCCCAGAGCGCUGCUCCCGGGGCUUCUCGGGAACUCAGCCCAGGGCCAGCAUCCCCAUCCAGGCAGCUGAGCCCCAAGAUCAUGCGGGGCGUUGGCCCGGCCAGGACCCAUGGUUAGCCGUCUUUCUGGGAUCUUCUCCCCGUUGUAGGAGGGAGGCUCCGUCCUGGGGUCGCACGCAGUGGUGGUUGAGAGAUCGCCACGUGUCAGACCAUCCCCACGUGGUCUGGGAGCCUGAAGCCUCGCUGUGUCCAGAAUCUACCAACCCCGUGUCCCAGCGGUACCUCGGUGCACCUCCUGGACUGAGCCUUUGGCCUGAGCUCCUCCCCCAGUUCCAGGUGGGGGGUCCUGCCCCCUCCCUGCGGUUUAUGCUCCAUCGGCCUCCUGGACGAGUUAUGGUCCCUCGCUGACCUCUCGGAGGCCUCCAUCUCUCGGAGCACCCUGGGGACCUCUCAUGCAGCGUGACCUGUGCCAUCGCGUCCCUGUGACUUUGUCCCGAGGGCCAGGUUAGGGUCAAGCAGGACGAGCUUGUGGGGCGUUGAAAACACCCGUGGCAGAGGGAGUCUGGAGAGACCCAGAAGGGCGUGGCACGAAGCAAGAUUUCCCAGGGUGCGUUCCUGGCCAGAGAUGGCAGAGAGUUCCAGGGGCUGGGACUUUGGAGACAUCCGUUGGAGAAGAUGACCCGUGAGCAAAGGAAGACAGUCCAGAAAAGCAAAAUGGAGGCUCUGGGGUCACUAUCAGCCCUUUUUUUAAAAAAAAUUCUUUUUAUUUUUUGGUCAUGCCUUCCGCGUGCAGAAUUUCCCAGGCCAGGGAUUGAACCUGUGGCACAGCAGCAACCGAGCCAUGGCGGUGACAAUGCUGGAUUCUUAACCUGCUGCACCACGAGGGAACUCCAAUAUUUGUACGUUCUUGAGCCAGAGUGUUCCAGAAGUGAAGGGGGCUGCCUCGCCCAGCAGCAGGCUCCCUGUGGGUGAGCCUUUGGGAGAGACUGACUCCUGGGAUACAGAGAACUGUCUGCCAGGAUGCUUUGGAUGGCAAGUACCCAAAAAACUAAGUUCUACCCGGCUUAGACCUCAAGGGGCGGUGGUCAGCUCCCAUAUCUGAAUCGUCCAGGGGCCCAAGCGGUGGCCAUGAGAGGGGCCCUGCCUCCUGGGAACCAGCUCCAUCCUCCCAGGCUCUCCCACCUGGUGGAAAGAUACCUUUGAGCAGCCCCAAAGGUAUGCACCUUCAGGUUCAAAUCCAGCAGACAAAGAACACAUCUACUGCCAGCUAAAGCCAAAGCAGGGUUUACAUCCUAGGGCGCCCAUCUGGCCCGAGUGGGGUACACAACCUGAAUUACUGUGACCAAAGGGCUGAGAUGUUUUUAAACUGGCUCAAACCAAUCAAGGCUCACCCUGUGGGUAGAGCUGCGUCAAUGAGGAAAGUGGGGAGAAAAGCAACGAGUCCCCUCUCAGAAGGAUGGGGCAGGGAGGGCCCUAAGUUUCUAUGAUUACAAGCUCCCAGAGGACACCCGUCGCAGCACAGCGUGUCCAUAAAUAGGUGAUUAAUGAAUGCUUGUUGAGUGAAUAAAUGAAAGAAAAAGAAGGAAGGAAAGAUACAGCUCAAUAUAAAAAAAAAAAACUAUCCAAAAAAUGGGCAGAAAAGUAAAUCAAUUAUACGCCAAUAUGAAAUAAAAAUUAGGGAGCUCCUGUAGUGGCUCAGUGGUUAAUGACCCCAACUAGUAUCCAUGAGGAUGUGGGUUCGAUCCCUGGCCUUGCUCAGUGGGUUAAGGAUCUGGUGUUGCUGUGGCUGUGGUGCAGGCCGGCAGCUGCAGCUCUGAUUCGAUCCCUAGCCUGAGAACCUCCACAUGCCUUGGGUGCGGUCUGAAGAAGAAGAAGAAAAAAAAAAGGCAAAAAAUAAAUUAAUUAAAUAAAAUAAAUAAAAUUAUAAAG